rnacentral:rRNA from 1 species
UACAGAGGUCUCAAGCGUUGUUCGGAUUCAUUGGGCGUAAAGGGUGCGUAGGCGGCGCGGUAAGUCGGGUGUGAAAUCUCGGGGCUUAACUCCGAAACUGCAUUCGAUACUGCCGUGCUUGAGGACUGGAGAGGAGACUGGAAUUCCUGGUGUAGCGGUGAAAUGCGCAGAUAUCAGGAGGAACACCGGUGGCGAAGGCGGGUCUCUGGGCCGAUACUGACGCUGAGGAGCGAAAGCGUGGGGAGCGAACAGG